rnacentral:rRNA from 1 species
CCUACGGGAGGCAGCAGUGAGGAAUAUUGGUCAAUGGGCGCGAGGCUGAACCAGCCAAGUAGCGUGAAGGAUGAAUGCGCUACGGGUUGUAAACUUCUUUUAUCAAGGGACAAAGUGAGGCACGAGAGCCUUAUUGAGGGUACUUGAAGAAAAAGGAUCGGCUAACUCCGUGCCAGCAGCCGCGGUAAUACGGAGGAUGCGAGCGUUAUCCGGAUUUAUUGGGUUUAAAGGGUGCGUAGGUGGGUUGUUAAGUCAGCGGUUAAAGUUUGGGGCUCAACCCUAAACUUGCAGUUGAUCCGGGCAGUCUUGAGUAGACUAGAGGUAUGCGGAAUGCGCGGUGUAGCGGUGAAAUGCUUAGAU